rnacentral:rRNA from 1 species
CACUCCUGCGGGAGGCAGCAGUGGGGAAUUUUGGACAAUGGGCGAAAGCCUGAUCCAGCAAUGCCGCGUGCAGGAUGAAGGCCUUCGGGUUGUAAACUGCUUUUGUACGGAACGAAAAAGCUCCUUCUAAUACAGGGGGCCCAUGACGGUACCGUAAGAAUAAGCACCGGCUAACUACGUGCCAGCAGCCGCGGUAAUACGUAGGGUGCGAGCGUUAAUCGGAAUUACUGGGCGUAAAGCGUGCGCAGGCGGUUAUGUAAGACAGAUGUGAAAUCCCCGGGCUCAACCUGGGAACUGCAUUUGUGACUGCAUGGCUAGAGUACGGUAGAGGGGGAUGGAAUUCCGCGUGUAGCAGUGAAAUGCGUAGAUAUGCGGAGGAACACCGAUGGCGAAGGCAAUCCCCUGGACCUGUACUGACGCUCAUGCACGAAAGCGUGGGGAGCAAACAGGAUUAGAUACCCGUGUAGUCCCA